GCAGCAGUAGGGAAUCUCCCACAAUGGGCGAAAGCCUGAUGGAGCAACGCCGCGUGGGUGGAGAAGGUCUUCGGAUCGUAAAACCCUGUUGUUAGAGAAGAAAGUGCGUGAGAGUAACUAUUCACGUUUCGACGGUAUCUAACCAGGAAGCCACGGCUAACUACGUGCCAGCAGCCGCGGUAAUACGUAGGUGGCAAGCGUUAUCCGGAUUUAUUGGGCGUAAAGGGAACGCAGGCGGUCUUUUAAGUCUGAUGUGAAAGCCUUCGGCUUAACCGGAGUAGUGCAUUGGAAACUGGGAGACUUGAGUGCAGAAGAGGAGAGUGGAACUCCAUGUGUAGCGGUGAAAUGCGUAGAUAUAUGGAAGAACACCAGUGGCGAAAGCGGCUCUCUGGUCUGUAACUGACGCUGAGGUUCGAAAGCGUGGGUAGCAAACAGGAUUAGAUACCCUGGUAGUCCACGCCGUAAACGAU
rnacentral:rRNA from 1 species